rnacentral:lncRNA from 10 species
GGCAUUUCACCUGAGUUAUGUAUUGUUUCAAACAUCCAGUGGAGGGUUUCUGGUAUCUCUCUUGAACUCUGGUGUUUUUACAAGAGGCACACAAAAGAGAGACACAGAGAGAAGAUGAGAAGACUGAGGCAGACAUUGGAAUGACGCAACCAGGAGCCAAGGAAUGCCUGGAUCCAUGGGAAGCAGAAGAGGCUUUCUCACCAUGUGAUGCAUUCUGCUAUGUUAUGAUACAGCAAGAAGGGCCUCACAAGAUGUGACCUCUUGUUCUUGGACUUCUCAGCCUCCAGAAUCAUGAGAGGGAGUGAGAGAAGUCAAACCUCUACCAGACUAGACAGAAUUUGCAUGUCUAUCUCUUACCUCCCCUCUUUGAGCCGAAGGACUAGAGGAACAAAAGACUCAGCCCCAAGGUUAUCCGGGUAAUAAGGUGUAAUGGAAUGAGAAUGGAACAAGCACAGGAUCUGGAGACACAAGCCAGGUCUCCAGUCACUGCUUAGCCGGAGAUGAAUGGCUGGAGACCUUGGACACAAUGCUGCCUUGGGUCUCAGGAGGAGUUGCACCAGAAGAUUUUGCUCACCUAGCAACACUGGCUGUGGCUGAGGAGUGGUGUUCCUCUACACAGAGCCUGGGCUUUCCUCCAGACUUGCUGCCCUCUUGCAAGCCCCCUGCCUGAUGUCACCUGCCUGAUGCUGGUGCUUUUCGACUGCUGUAUCUAUGAAGGGAGAAGCAUUUGCUGCUGAAACACUUGAGAGUAAAGUUUAGCAGAUUCAUCUGGUGAGAGAAUGGAAAAAGGGAGACAUUCAUCAAUUUUACAACCUGCAGUCCAUCCUCAGACCAAAUCAGGAAGAAGAGUGCAUGGAGAAAACAUUUGGGAAGAAAAGGUAUUUUCAAAACAUCUGGAGCAAGAGACAAAUCCCAUCAGCUCAGUUCCAACAAUAUAUGCAGAUGGGCAACUGAUGGUCAGACUCCAGUGGUUCUUCAAAACUUUCUAGGAGGUAAACAAGAUGAAAGGGAAAGCACACAAAUUUGCUGGAAUUUGGAAAACACGAACCCUGGAAUUUGGAGGAGUCACUUCCACUGGAAAAUACUUUUAUAUUAUUUAUAGUGGCUACCAUUACCGUGCUCACUUUACAGGUGAGGUUCAGAGAUUUAUGUAACAUGCCAAAGGUCACACAGCUGGACACAGCAGAACCAAGAUUCAAAUCUGCACAGGCUCUCAACCAAUUGGAUGGCACCUGCCCACCUUCCCUAAGAGUCGUUCUUCCUUACUUAGUACACUGAUUCAAAUGCCAUCUCUCCUGGAAACAUCCUGACAGACAUGCCCAGAAAUAAUGUUUUACUGGCUAUCUAGAUAUCCCUCAACCCAGUCAAGUUGACACCUAAAAUGAACCAUCACAAUACCAAUUGUGAAAACUGUGUUACUAUUUGUCAAAGAUUUGGCUUUCCCAUCUGGUGAGAAAAUUAUACUUGCCCAACCUGUUGAAAUCAGGCAGGGCAAUGACUGACUUAACUAUGGCUAACAAAAUAUAAACAGAAGUGAUAUGUGUCACUUUUAGGCAGAAGUUUUCAGAGUCGCUGCUUGAUGAUAAG